CAGGUGACCGAUUCAAGUCCUGUCCUGACUUCCGUUUACAACACCGGUACACACACCUGGCUAACAGGACAGACAAAAGAUCCGUUCGCUUGGUCCCAAAUUCGAACUGAAAUACUGCCAUUGACUAAAACCUACGCUGACUACACUUCACCGACGGUGUUAUAACGCAAGGUAGGACGAAGAUACCAAGAAAGACAUUGUCGGCUGUCAACAGUAAAGACUUUCCUCCGCUCAAGACUGCUAGCCCGUAUGCUAACGCGGAAAACAAGUUAGCUUUCCACAGCUAGCUAAGCUGCUAGCCCUAUGGAGGAUACAUCAAAGUUGGCCACAGAGACUGAACCUUCCCUCGGUGAUGUUUUAACCACCAUAAGGAACCUGGACAACAAGAUGAAUCCAUUCCACAAGCAAGAAAGCAUUUCAGGACAGAGCCCAUGAGGACCUCCAUUACCCGCAUGGCACAGCGGAUGGACACAUUUGAGGAAAAGAUGGAUGAGCUGCUCAUGCUCUUAAGGAGCUCCCAGUCACCUCCCUCUGCUCCAGUCGAUGAUGUGUUGCUGUCGCCCUGCUCAACAGUCAUCGAGCUGCAGGAGUUCAACAGGAGAGGAGGAACAAAAUGCAACUUUUUCUGACAACCUUUCAACCAAUGACGUUGUAAAACCGUAUAGCCUGCAGGGCAGAAAGACAAAGGCCUUCUAGGACCUGACAAUCUGCAGGGUUAUAACAGGCAGGUGUUAUUUUAUUGUUCACAUCAGUAUUAUGCGAAGCUUGGCUGAUAAGGGGUUUUAAUUUGACUUGUAACUUUGCUUCUUCUUGCUACUCUUGCGGCCUCUCAGAAAAAUGUCCCCGUGCUGACUGCAGCAGACGUGGAGGACCCCCCAGUGCUCCCCCUCACAAUAUCCAACAGCCUAGUGUCAAAGGUCGACUCAUUCAAGUUUCUGGGCUCCAUCAUUUCCCAGGACCUGAAGAGGGAGUCCAACAUCCUUAAAAAGGCUCUGCAGAGGAUGUACUUCCUACGGCAACUGCGGAAGCAUGGCCUACCACAAGAGCUGUUGGCCAUCUUCUACACUGCUGCCAUCCUCCUGCCUCCUCCCCUCUGGCAGGCGCUACA